UACGUAGGGUGCAAGCGUUAAUCGGAAUUACUGGGCGUAAAGCGUGCGCAGGCGGUUCUAUAAGACAGAUGUGAAAUCCCCGGGCUCAACCUGGGAACUGCAUUUGUGACUGUAGAGCUGGAGUACGGCAGAGGGGGAUGGAAUUCCGCGUGUAGCAGUGAAAUGCGUAGAGAUGCGGAGGAACACCGAUGGCGAAGGCAGCCCCCUGGGCCGACAUUGACGCUCAGGCACGAAAGCGUGGGGAGCAAACAGG
rnacentral:rRNA from 1 species